rnacentral:rRNA from 1 species
ACGCUGGCGGCAGGCCUAACACAUGCAAGUCGAGCGGUAGAGAGAAGCUUGCUUCUCUUGAGAGCGGCGGACGGGUGAGUAAUGCCUAGGAAUCUGCCUGGUAGUGGGGGAUAACGUUCGGAAACGGACGCUAAUACCGCAUACGUCCUACGGGAGAAAGCAGGGGACCUUCGGGCCUUGCGCUAUCAGAUGAGCCUAGGUCGGAUUAGCUAGUUGGUGAGGUAAUGGCUCACCAAGGCGACGAUCCGUAACUGGUCUGAGAGGAUGAUCAGUCACACUGGAACUGAGACACGGUCCAGACUCCUACGGGAGGCAGCAGUGGGGAAUAUUGGACAAUGGGCGAAAGCCUGAUCCAGCCAUGCCGCGUGUGUGAAGAAGGUCUUCGGAUUGUAAAGCACUUUAAGUUGGGAGGAAGGGCAGUUACCUAAUACGUGAUUGUUUUGACGUUACCGACAGAAUAAGCACCGGCUAACUCUGUGCCAGCAGCCGCGGUAAUACGGAGGGUGCAAGCGUUAAUCGGAAUUACUGGGCGUAAAGCGCGCGUAGGUGGUUUGUUAAGUUGGAUGUGAAAUCCCCGGGCUCAACCUGGGAACUGCAUUCAAAACUGACUGACUAGAGUAUGGUACAGGGUGGUGGAAUUUCCUGUGUAGCGGUGAAAUGCGUAGAUAUAGGAAGGAACACCAGUGGCGAAGGCGACCACCUGGACUGAUACUGACACUGAGGUGCGAAAGCGUGGGGAGCAAAC